UAAGCCAUGCGAGUCAUGGGGCGCGCUCUGCGCGCACCGGCGGACGGCUCAGUAACACGUCGGUAACCUACCCUCGGGAGGGGGAUAACCCCGGGAAACUGGGGCUAAUCCCCCAUAGGCCUGAGGUACUGGAAGGUCCUCAGGCCGAAAGGGUCUUUGACCGCCCGAGGAUGGGCCGGCGGCCGAGUUAGGUAGUUGGUGGGGUGACGGCCCACCAAGCCGAAGAUCGGUACGGGCCAUGAGAGUGGGAGCCCGGAGAUGGACACUGAGACACGGGUCCAGGCCCUACGGGGCGCAGCAGGCGCGAAACCUCCGCAAUGCGGGCAACCGCGACGGGGGGACCCCCAGUGCCGUGGCAUCGCCACGGCUUUUCCGGAGUGUAAAAAGCUCCGGAAUAAGGGCUGGGCAAGGCCGGUGGCAGCCGCCGCGGUAAUACCGGCGGCCCGAGUGGUGGCCGCUAUUAUUGGGCCUAAAGCGUCCGUAGCCGGGCCCGUAAGUCCCUGGCGAAAUCCCACGGCUCAACCGUGGGGCUUGCUGGGGAUACUGCGGGCCUUGGGACCGGGAGAGGCGGGGGGUGCCCCUGGGGUAGGGGUGAAAUCCUAUAAUCCCAGGGGGACCGCCAGUGGCGAAGGCGCCCCGCUGGAACGGGUCCGACGGUGAGGGACGAAGGCCAGGGGAGCGAACUGGAUUAGAUACCCGGGUAGUCCUGGCUGUAAAGGAUGCGGGCUAGGUGUCGGGCGAGCUUCGAGCUCGCCCGGUGCCGAAGGGAAGCCGUUAAGCCCGCCGCCUGGGGAGUACGGCCGCAAGGCUGAAACUUAAAGGAAUUGGCGGGGAGCACUACAAGGGUGGAGCGUGCGGUUU
rnacentral:rRNA from 1 species